rnacentral:rRNA from 1 species
CAAUAAAGAACCCGGUGACAGGUGCUGCAUGGCUGUCGUCAGCUCGUGUCGUGAGAUGUUGGGUUAAGUCCCGCAACGAGCGCAACCCUCGCCUUUAGUUGCCAGCAUUCAGUUGGGCACUCUAGAGGGACUGCCGGUGUCAAACCGGAGGAAGGUGGGGAUGACGUCAAGUCCUCAUGGCCUUUAUGUCUAGGGCUACACACGUACUACAAUGGCCGGUACAAGGGGAAGCAAGACCGCGAGGUGGAGCAAAUCCCAAAAAAGCCGGCCUCAGUGCGGAUUGCAGUCUGCAACUCGACUGCAUGAAGUUGGAAUCGCUAGUAAUCGCGGAUCAGCACGCCGCGGUGAAUACGUUCCCGGGCCUU